ACUUCUCUGCUAGUGUUUCGAGCUCUGUCAGGGCCAUCUGAAGAGGCAGCCUGUCGGGGUGGCCUUUGGAGGUGUUCUUCAGCAUGUCCCGCUUACCUUUAAAAAUUCAAGAAAAGCGGGCUUUGUGGCACAUGUUUUCUUGAGGACUGCCACGGCUGUGCUGAAAUUGUUCACAUAUUCACUGUAUGCAUCCAGCACCAUGGACUUAGAAAACUGAAACACAG
rnacentral:lncRNA from 1 species